GUUAUGUUUACCUAGUAAAAAGUCAACUUCCCCUAGUAAACGGCAUUUGAAAUUUAUGCUUUGUGCUGCUGCAGCUUUUGUUAAUGGCUCUUUUGAUCAUAGGCGACCCAUCAUCAUGUGGUGUCAGUACUUCUCUGGUGUCAGUGUUUUUCCAAGGCAAGAGAAUGGGUUUGGAUAUCUGUGUCGUCCUGUCUUUAUUAACUGCGGUCCAGUCUGUCUUAGCGCAGCAGCGGCUCUAGCCAGUAGCAGGUGUACAGAGAGAUACGUGCAGAUGGUCUCCUCCCAAAGGCAGUGUUUCUGCUCAUCCACUGGCUAUGUGACCCUUUCCUGAAAAGGUAGGUCUUGGACAAGGUGAACAGCCUCACCAAAUCAGGAGACUAGCUGGGGAGCCUAGGUAAUCUUUCACAGGGAGAAUACCGAAGGGAAUAAGAAUUAUAAAUAGUUUGGUAUCUAUACAUUACAUUUUUAGGAUUUUUUAAUGGGAAGAUUCACAAGGCUUUUGUCAUUUUAGUAAGAGAGCCUAAACAUAGUUAUUUAUUUUUAAAUAGCUUGCUUUACAGGCGCUUCUGCAAACAUUUCGCUUUUUUUUAAAAUUCACCUGUGGGAAGCCAGAAAAUUUUUUAAAAAGUGGAAACACGACUUCUUCAAAAUCUCCUUUCCUUGUAAAUGAAAGAAAUUUCAUGUUGUGUUUGUUGGCUAGUUUUUUUUUUCAUGUUGUGUUUGUUGGCUAGUUGGGGAGGUCUUUUUUUUUUUUGUCUUUGUUUUGUCUUUUUAGGGCUGCACCAGCAGUAUAUGUAGGUUCCCAGGCUAGGGGUCUAAUCAGAGCUGUAGCUGUCGGCCUACACCACAACUCAUGGCAAUGCCAGAUGCUUAGCCCACUGAGCAAGGCCGGGGAUCGAACCUGCAACCUCAUGGUUCCUAGUCGGAUUCGUUUCCACUAUUCCACGAAGGGAACUCCCUUGUUGGCUAGUUUUACUAUAAUAAAAGGAAUCUUUUUUUUGAAACUUUAUUAUUU
rnacentral:lncRNA from 1 species